GUGCCAGCAGCCGCGGUCAUACCGGCAGCCCGAGUGAUGGCCGAUCUUAUUGGGCCUAAAGCGUCCGUAGCUGGCUGCGCAAGUCCGUCGGGAAAUCCACUCGCCCAACGAGUGGGCGUCCGACGGAAACUGCACAGCUUGGGACCGGAAGGCUCGAAGGGUACGUUCGGGGUAGGAGUGAAAUCCUGUAAUCCCGUCCGGACCACCGAUGGCGAAAGCACUUCGAGAAAACGGAUCCGACAGUGAGGGACGAAAGCCAGGGUCUCCAACCGGAUUAGAAACCCGGGUGUCC
rnacentral:rRNA from 1 species